rnacentral:rRNA from 1 species
AUUGAACGCUGGCGGCAGGCCUAACACCUGCAAGUCGAGCGAGCGGCGGACGGGUGAGUAAUGUCUGGGAAACUGCCUGAUGGAGGGGGAUAACUACUGGAAACGGUAGCUACUACCGCAUACCAUCAGAUGUGCCCAGAUGGGAUUAGCUAGUAGGUGGGGUAACGGCUCACCUAGGCGACGAUCCCUAGCUGGUCUGAGAGGCUGACCAGCAACACUGGAACUGAGACACGGUCCAGACUACGACGGGAUGCAGGAGUGGGGAAUAUUGCACAAUGGGCGCAAGCCUGAUGCAGCCAUGCCGCGUGUGUGAAGAAGGCCUUCGGGUUGUAAAGCACUUUCAGCGGGGAGGCGUUACCCGCAGAAGAAGCACCGGAUAACUCCGUGACAGCAGGAGCGGUAAAC